UACAGAGGUCUCAAGCGUUGUUCGGAUUCAUUGGGCGUAAAGGGUGUGUAGGUGGCGCCGUAAGUCGGGUGUGAAAUUUCGGAGCUUAACUCCGAAACUGCAUUCGAUACUGCGGUGCUUGAGGACUGGAGAGGAGACUGGAAUUCAUGGUGUAGCAGUGAAAUGCGUAGAGAUCAUGAGGAAGACCAGUGGCGAAGGCGGGUCUCUGGACAGUUUCUGACACUGAGACACGAAGGCCAGGGGAGCAAACGGGG
rnacentral:rRNA from 1 species